CCUACGGGGCGGCAGCAGUGGGGAAUAUUGGACAAUGGGCGAAAGCCUGAUCCAGCCAUGCCGCGUGUGUGAAGAAGGCCUUCGGGUUGUAAAGCACUUUCAGUGGGGAAGAAAGCCUUGGGGCUAAUACCCUCGAGGAAGGACAUCACCCACAGAAGAAGCACCGGCUAACUCCGUGCCAGCAGCCGCGGUAAUACGGAGGGUGCGAGCGUUAAUCGGAAUUACUGGGCGUAAAGCGCGCGUAGGCGGUCUGAUAAGCCGGUUAUGAAAGCCCCGGGCUCAACCUGGGAACGGCAUCCGGAACUGUCAGGCUAGAGUGCAGGAGAGGAAGGUAGAAUUCCCGGUGUAGCGGUGAAAUGCGUAGAGAUCGGGAGGAAUACCAGUGGCGAAGGCGGCCUUCUGGACUGACACUGACGCUGAGGUGCGAAAGCGUGGGUAGCAAACAGGAUUAGAUACCCCUGUAGUC
rnacentral:rRNA from 1 species